CUCAGAUAAAGCAAUGAACUAGGAGGAAUUCAGCCACGUCCUUUUCAGAGGCCUGAAGACGGUGUAUCGAGUCACUGUAGCUGGUUGCAAUGUAACUAAAUAACAUCAAUAUGACAGCUGCAGGUGCUUCAUUUUAUUACAUAAGUGAAUGGCCAAAGUCCCACAGAUCAUCAGACGGAUGGACACACAAAAACUGAAGCGAGGCGGGCUGAUUCCUACUCCUGCCAAAAAAUUACUAUGUUCCACCAAUGAACACUCAGAUAUUUUGCCUCUGGUGAUUUCCUUCUGGCCAUUGGAGACUUCAUUGGUAUUGGCAAGGGGACAGCCAGCAGGGUUAUUAAAGCAAUGUGUAUGAGACCGGAAAACAGGCAUAAGAGACAGUUUUGUUAAUUA
rnacentral:lncRNA from 1 species